rnacentral:hammerhead_ribozyme from 1 species
ACCCAGUACGAGUCCCGAAUAGGACGAAACGCGCGUCCCGGAU